rnacentral:rRNA from 1 species
UACGGAGGAUGCAAGCGUUAUCCGGAAUGAUUGGGCGUAAAGCGUCCGCAGGUGGCUAUGUAAGUCUGCUGUUAAAGAGUGAGGCUCAACCUCAUAAGAGCAGUGGAAACUACAUGGCUAGAGUGCGUUCGGGGCAGAGGGAAUUCCUGGUGUAGCGGUGAAAUGCGCAGAUAUCGGGAAGAACACCGAUGGCGAAAGCACUCUGCUGGGCCGAAACUGACACUGAGAGACGAAAGCUAGGGGAGCGAAUGGG